CUUUGCUAGUUUGGUUGUCUUCAAUGCUUGUUGGGCUAUAAAGAUUAAAAACUAAGAACGUGUAACUGGCAUAGGCUGCUCCCAAUCAAAAGAAAAUGGACCCUCCUCCUAUUUUACCUACAACAAUAACCCUGUGACCAGCCCAAGUCAUCCAGCUGGCUUCCAUGCAAAAGGAAGGAUCAGAACUCAUCAUCUCUCCGCUUCGGUUUCCAGUCCAGCACUUCAAUUGCUUCACUGGUUUUCAGACUACCCAAUACUAUCUGAUACUGUACUUUUGCGGGAUACAGUUUGGCAAUUGAUACUGCCAGCUUGGAAGAAAUCUGAGAGAAUACAAAUUACCCUAGUUACUAGGGCCUAGUAAAAAGAUUUGUGGGGAAGAUUUCCCUGAAAUUAAAUCAAGCUGUCAAAGCAAACAACUCUUCAGUUUUGGCACCAUCAGAAAAAGACCUGAAGGCUUCUGGCAUCUGGCAGAUUCGAAUCAAGCCAUCCUCUUGAUAGAGUUACUGCUUAUUUAGGAACUGUGUAUGUGAUGCUGCAGAAUAUUCUAUUAGUGUCAAAAAUAGUUGGCAUGGAUUAAUGAGGAGAACAAGAAACCCCAAAAGCUGAGGCUACAGAAUCUCUCUCAGGCCUCUGGUUGUUAUUUAAGUGUAAUCUAAGGUUCUUAGUCAACAACCAUCCAUGUGAAGAGCUCACUGCAAUUAUAUUCAACAUAAUAGAAUUUGCCCUCUCUGCUUACUUUUACUUUUUGCCCAGAUUUCCAUGACAAACUGCAUCUCAUCCCAAAAAGAUGAACUUGCUGAUAUUCUUCCUUUAUUAAUUUCUGGGAACCUACUACUAUUGUGCUACUGCUACCGCUAUUAUUUAUUUACUUAUUUCAUCCACUAAUAUACAAUGUCCAUAUUUUUAACUGGUUUUUCCACACAUUGAGGAGGGUUAGAUUAGAUUAUCCUUGUGGGGUGAAAUAAAUGAAAUGUUAAAAAGUUAUGAUAUUUAUGUAGUUACUUACCAAGCACAUCUAAAUUAUAUUAAAGUAAGCAAAAUAUCUUUACAA